rnacentral:rRNA from 1 species
UACGGAGGGUGCGAGCGUUGUCCGGAAUCAUUGGGCGUAAAGGGCGCGUAGGUGGCCCGGUCAGUUCGUGGUGAAAGCGCGGGGCUCAACCCUGCGUCGGCCAUGAAUACUGCCGCGGCUGGAGCACUGUAGAGGCAGGCGGAAUUCCAGGUGUAGCGGUGAAAUGCGUAGAUAUCUGGAGGAACACCGGUGGCGAAGGCGGCAUCCUGGACCGGCAUUGACGCUGAGGCGCGAAAGCCAGGGGAGCAAACGGG